UGAAAUAUGGAAAUCUGAUGUUGAAAUAAAUUAUUCCUGCCAAUACAUUUUAACUUGUGGUGAAAAGCUGGAUAAAAGUUGUGGAAAAGUAACAUAUUAUCAAUGCAAUAGAAGUGGGAUUUACAAUUGCAUGUCAUCAGGAAAGAGACAGAUUCAAAGUAGUGUUAAAAACAGCAGGAAGAUAUGUCGCUUAGUUAAAAACAGCAGGAAGAUAUGUCGAGCAGAACAAAAAGAAUUGUUUUAUUUGCACAAAGAUUUGCGUAUUUCAUUCUCCCCGAAUGUCAGGGUA
rnacentral:lncRNA from 1 species